UACAGAGGGUGCGAGCGUUAAUCGGAAUUACUGGGCGUAAAGCGUGCGUAGACGGUUAUUUAAGUCGGGUGUGAAAGCCCCGGGCUCAACCUGGGAAUUGCAUUCGAGACUGAAUAGCUAGGGUACGGUAGAGGGAAGCGGAAUUUCCGGUGUAGCGGUGAAAUGCGUAGAUAUCGGGAGGAACACCAGUGGCGAAGGCGACUACCUGGCCUGUUUCUUGACGCUGAGGCGCGAAAGCUAGGGGAGCAAACGGG
rnacentral:rRNA from 1 species